CUAUCCACUUUUCUUGACUACUUCGUACAUGAUUUGAAUCGCGCGGUCGUGCAAAUGUCCUAUCGAACUAUUUCAAGAUGGCGCUCGAGAAAAGCUAUGCGGACGUAAUAUCGUAGCGACAAUCGUAAAUUUGUCCACGAAUCAGUGUAUCGGGGUUAAAAAAUUGCAUAUAGCCGCGACGGAAUUGACAGUGACAAUGUGUCCGUGUGUAAAUCGGCGUUAUGUGUGUGUGAUGGGUUGCCAGUAAAAUAUGCAAAUGCAUUUUAUACACACGAGAGUUCGUAAUCCCAUGAGCUUCGUGACCUGUACUGACUUUCUGACUCCGUGGCUCUGGUCUCGUCUUACGCCUCUCUUUGGAUCCCAUAAGAAUCCACUCACUCAGACUGUUUCUCCUCUCCAUGCUGUUUCAAGGAAUUACUGUUUCUCGAACUUCUCUUAUUCUGGUUCCUUCUAACCUCCACUACGGUUCAUACUUUACGUGAAGGUCUCUCUGCAUUUUCCUAUUAUUUAUCCUAUUUGCGCGUAGUCUCAGCUUCGCUACUGACAGUUACUAUGCGCUUAAUCAUUGUUUACCAUCUCGUUACGAUACUGUGCUUCUUGAGCAUCCUUAAGUAAAUUCUCGCAAGGCAGAGGACACAUUGUUCAAAAUAAUUUUUUGUUCCCCGUUCAAGUCACCAGGUCGUUAAAAUCCUUUCUUCGAAACGAGGAAAGAGAAGUCAGCUGGCAAUCGUGAAACGAGGUAUAGAUGCUUUAAAGACUGGUUAAAGAUGAGAAAAAAGAUAAAACAAAUUUUGGAAUUCAUCUUUUAAUCGUUGGAUUUACAUCAUUGCGAUACGGCCAGGCAUCCAAUCGACCGAAGGAUCCACAGGAUCAUCCGGUUUAAUUAGACAACGGGAUAGGGUCGUAGGCCAAUUACAGAUCACGUGGACUAUGCCCAAUCACUAUCCAACAUUAUAAGAAGAAUACUACAGAGGCCUACCACCGCAAGGAAAAUGAUUAGUGCUCUCCUAACAUGACUUCUAUAUUCACAUUUAUAUGCAACCAAGUGCAUACUGACUCACGUUAUCGCAGACUCACGCAAAAUUGCAGUGUCCGUCUUUACGUACAUAAAACACAGACCAUGUGUGAGUUUAUGCAUUUCUUAUGCUCGUGUAUCUGCACGGUAUCCUGUACCUGAGUGCAUAUAUAUAUAUACAGGAAUGCAUUCGUAUAUACAACAAAGGAAAAAGGCAGGAGGUAAGACCCAAGUGCUUGCGGCCAUGUGCAGCGCCUGGCAGACCGCUGGUCAAUGAACCGUUGCACACGCGACAUCCUCUCGGAUGCUGCACAUAGUUGGUUAUCGAAAUGAUCAGAAUCGACCAGGGUAAUCUAACCGCCAAGGACUCGCAAGGACGUCUUGUAUUACCCUGCAUCAAGUGGACAGGAUAGAUUGGAUGAUUAAUAUGGAAAAUGGAAAAUUAUACAGUGUCGAGUGUCUUGUUUCUUGGUAAAAGAACACGUGUCUUGUAGCACAUGGAACAUGGGACUCUGGUGAAACCAUGAAACUAGCAGACGACGAAUAAAGGAAGAUACAACAAACCCUGAUAUGGAGUCUGGAUGAGAAGAUGCGUAUUUAAAAAAUAAUUUCAGCCGGCAAAUAGACACGUUGGUUAUAUUCUUAAUAGUUGGUUCGCAAUCUUGCAAUCUCGCAAUAGUUGGUUAUGAUUCUUAAUAGAAUUUGAAAAAUAUUAAAUUAACAUUUAUUAAUUCAAAUUUCUACCCUCUAUCUAUUACAAUAAGGUUAUUAACGAGAGAGACACGUUUAUGUAGUGACUAAUAAGAGGCCAAAUAUUUUUAUGACUACUGUUAAGUAAAUAUUACAACAGAACCAUGCAAGUAAAUCAUUUUAUGUAAUUUAUGGAAUAUAAACGUCUCACUCUAGGAGGGACAAACAAUGAACAAUGAAACAAAGAGACAAACGUAAUGAUCAUACGAUUCGAGUCUCGAAUAGGUUAACCUGAACGCUACUUACUGUUGGUUACACGAUGAUUCAAGUCAAUCAUUAGAGAUAUACGCAAAGGGUCAAGUGUACGAUGCGAGAUGUAUUUGAUACUUGUGCAAACAGUCGGGAUAAUUGAUAGUGAAUAAUUAUUUAUAAAAUCGUCACGUGUUAUUAGAAAUUAAUUAUAAUAAUUAUCUAGUAUGAUUUAUAUUUUGGUACGUUAUAUUGAGAUAUCAGAGAAAUCAAUGAUAUCAACCAACAAUCGCGAGACUCAUUGACGUGGACGAUGGCUACUGCAUUUACUGACUGCACAGCAUCCAGUCAUAUUACUACGUCUCUUCGUGUUACUUCAGAGGAUUGCGGAUGCACGGAUAUUACGAUGCAAGAUAUUCGCGUGACUCUAAAUCUUGUUGUAGCGAACAUUUUAAAUGUUACUGGCUUUACACGGGCGAGCAUAUAUG